GUUUCCCAGAAUUCUCUCCCUACCGGAUGUCCCACCUCCUAUUUCCUGCCUCACUCAGCUCAUUGGUCAAAGCUUUUUUAUUGGCAUGUGAUGCUUAUAAGCGAUCCUCUCUGCACUGUUGGACCAGUUCCCUCAUUUCCACAUAUGACAGAAGGCUCACUGAUGAUUCCAGACUUUCAUGCUAUCUUCUUACCAGCCAACCGGGUGGAGCUUCACGGCUAAUCCAUUCAGCAAGACCGAUGGUCACCAUCAUUUCAGCUUGGGUUGCUGUCUCCUCCUUGAACUGCUAGCUGUAGGGCUAUGCUGGCUUUUCAUCGGAGCCUCAGCCUGCACUCCUCACCCCUUCUCUGGAGCAAGAACUGGUUCACACACUCACUAAAGCACACGUUGGAUAUAGCAACAGAGAGAGCUCAGGGGCCUCUCCAGUGCUGGGAGCUCCACUGUGCUCUGCGAUUGCAAACAACCUCGGUGAGAUAAAAGAGAUGGGCCUGUGCAUUCUGAUAAGCCACCUGUUGGCAAUGCCUCUGCUGUUCCAGGAGAAUGAUUGGGCCAAUAAACAGAGAUAAUUCUU